UACGAAGGGUGCAAGCGUUAAUCGGAAUUACUGGGCGUAAAGGGCGCGUAGGCGGUGCGGUAAGUCACCUGUGAAAUCUCCUGGCUCAACUGGGAGCUUGCAGGCGAAACUGCCGUGCUGGAGUGUGGGAGAGGUGCGUGGAAUUCCUGGUGUAGCGGUGAAAUGCGUAGAUAUCAGGAGGAACACCUGUGGCGAAAGCGGCGCACUGGACCACAACUGACGCUGAGGCGCGAAAGCUAGGGGGAGCAAACAGG
rnacentral:rRNA from 1 species